UAGGGAAUCUUCCGCAAUGGACGCAAGUCUGACGGAGCAACGCCGCGUGAGUGAAGAAGGAUUUCGGUUCGUAAAACUCUGUUGUUAGAGAAGAACAGCGCAUAGAGUAACUGUUAUGCGUGUGACGGUAUCUAACCAGAAAGCCACGGCUAACUACGUGCCAGCAGCCGCGGUAAUACGUAGGUGGCAAGCGUUGUCCGGAUUUAUUGGGCGUAAAGCGAGCGCAGGCGGUCAAUUAAGUCUGAUGUGAAAGCCCCCGGCUCAACCGGGGAGGGUCAUUGGAAACUUGUUGACUUGAGUGCAGAAGAGGAGAGUGGAAUUCCAUGUGUAGCGGUGAAAUGCGUAGCUAUAUGGGGGAACACCAGUGGCGAAGGCGACUCUCUGGUCUGUAACUGACGCUGAGGCUCGAAAGCGUGGGUAGCAAACAGG
rnacentral:rRNA from 1 species